rnacentral:tRNA from 1 species
UCCUUUUUUGUUCUGGCUGGUUAGAGCAGAGGACUUAAAAUCCUCUUUUGCUUAGGACUCAAAAUCCUAACAGAGUG